AGGGUUAGUCAGGACCUAAGGCGAGGCCGAAAGGCGUAGUCGAUGGACAACAGGUCAACAUUCCUGUACCUGUGAUGUUUUGGGAAGGGGGACGGAGAAGGCUAGCCAAGCCAGAUGUUGGUUACUGGUCCAAGCGUUCGAGGCGUUGAGAACCGGCGAAAACGGUUUGAGCUGAGGCGUGAGUGCGAGCUGCUACGGCAGCGAAGUUGGUGACGUCAAGCUUCCAAGAAAAGCCCUAUACCCGUUAAGGCAUCAUGGCCUGUACCCGAAACCGACACAGGUGGGGUGGUAGAGAAUACCGAGGGGCGCGAGGUAACUCUCUCUAAGGAACUCGGCAAAAUGGCCCCGUAACUUCGGGAGAAGGGGUGCCACCGCAAGGUGGUCGCAGUGAAGAGGCCCAGGCGACUGUUUACCAAAAACACAGGUCUCCGCUAAGUCGCAAGACGAUGUAUGGGGGCUGACGCCUGCCCAGUGCCGGAAGGUUAAGGAAGCUGGUCAGCGCAAGCGAAGCUAGCGACUGAAGCCCCGGUGAACGGCGGCCGUAACGAUAACGGUCCUAAGGUAGCGAAAUUCCUUGUCGGGUAAGUUCCGACCCGCACGAAAGGCGUAACGAUCUGGGCGCUGUCUCGGAGAGAGGCUCGGCGAAAUAGAAUUGUCUGUGAAGAUGCGGACUACGUGCACCCGGACAGAAAGACCCUAUGAAGCUUUACUGUAGCUUGGUAUUGUGCCCGGGCUCUGAAUGCGCAGGAUAGGUGGGAGGCUUUGAUCAUCGGCUUGCGGGUCGAUGUGAGCCAACGGUGAGAUACCACUCUUUCAGAGCUAGGGUUCUAACAGUCACCCGUUAUCCGGGGACUGGACAGUAUCAGGUGGGCAGUUUGACUGGGGCGGUCGCCUCCUAAAAGGUAACGGAGGCGCGCAAAGGUCUGCUCAGGCUGGUUGGAAAUCAGCCGACGAGUGUAAAAGCAGAAGCAGGCUUGACUGUGAGACCUACAAGUCGAACAGGGAGGAAACUCGGCUUUAGUGAUCCGACGGUUCUGCGUGGAAGGGCCGUCGCUCAACGGAUAAAAGUUACUCUAAGGAUAACAGGCUGAUCUCCCCCAAGAGUUCACAUCGACGGGGAGGUUUGGCACCUUGAUGUCGGCUCAUCGCAACCUGGGGCUGAAGUCGGUCCCAAGGGUUGGGCUGUUCGCCCAUUAAAGCGGUACGCGAGCUGGGUUCAGAACGUCGUGAGACAGUUCGGUCCAUAUCCGGUGCAUGCGCAGGAAUAUUGAGAGGAGUUCUCCCUAGUACGAGAGGACCGGGAGGAACGCACCUCUGGUGUACCAGUUAUCGUGCCAACGGUAAACGCUGGGUAGCCAUGUGCGGAGAGGAUAACCGCUGAAAGCAUCUAAGUGGGAAGCCCACCUCAAGAUGAGUAUUCCCAUGGCGUUAGCCAGUAAGGUCACGGGAAGAACAUCCGUUGAUAGGCUCUAUGUGGAAGCGCAGUAAUGCGUGAAGCAGAGGAGUACUAAUAGACCGAGGGCUUGACCUA
rnacentral:rRNA from 1 species